CAUAGGAGGUCAAAAGGUCAUCAACCAAAAAUCAACAUUAAAUUUAAGCCAAAAUAUAUUUUAAAACUUGUGAUAUCUCAUUAAAACUGAAAUAACAUAAAUAUAAGUUAGCAGAAGUAAAUCAUAUGUUAAAAUACAUGUAUAGAUAAAAUUAUCACAUCUUAGCUGCAGUCACUGCUAAGUUAUGGUUCCAAAAAUAUGUAAUGUGUGCAUGGUGUCUAUAUUAUGAAUUCACCAUUGGAUUUUUAUAUGAAUGAAAAACUUUUAACUGGCUAUAAAUAGGUGGUUGCUCUAUUAUCAUAUAUUAUCAAAUUAAUAUAUUUUUGCAAUUGUGAUACCUAAAUAUGAACUAACUGCCAGAGUAUGGGGUGUCAAUUAAUGCAUUAAGAUUAAUUUGGAGGGUGGGGUGGGGGGAAGUGUGUAAUAUUUAUGCAACUUUUUACCAACUGAAUAUAUUUUGUUAUUAUUAAUAAAUUGUAGAAUAGUACAACCCUUAUCAUUUCUUAAAAAGAAUGAUGUAUCGUUACACGGUUAAUUAUGUCACAGAGGUAAAAGGUCAUCAACCAAAGAUUUAAAUCAAAGCAAAACAUAUUUUAAAACUUGUGUUAAUUAUUUUCUUAUACUGUUAGAACUAAAUUAACAUAGAUAUAUGUUAGUUGAAGUCAAGCGUAGAUCCAGGAUUUUCACUGAACUUCGCACAGAUGGUGUGGUCCUUGCAGUGGUGGAUUCAGAAAUUCAAAGGGAGGGUCCUAGAGAAGGACCUCACAGAUAGACACUUCAGCCCCACUGUGGUUGUGGCUGUGGUAAAAAGAAUUCAGAUUACGUCACCUAUAGAUGACCGGAAAUGGCACUCUCAAGAUUUGAAUACAGGGAUAUAAAAAGGAAGAUGCAAAAUGUAGGAAACUGUUGCUGUGUUUACUUAUGACAAGUUGUGACUCAUCAGAUCAGAUGAAGGGAUGGAAGACAACAAAGAUUGCUAUACGUACCUAUCACAGAGUUAAGAGGGAACCUGCCCUGGGGUCGAAGUUGAAAGUAGUCAAUUCCAUGAAAUCCUGAGUAGCAGAUUCAUGAAUUUGAAGUAGAAGAGAAGCCCAGGGAGGAAUUUCACAGAUGGAGGGGCUAGAGCUGAGGAUUCUUGCCGACAUAUUUCCUGAAGCACAAGUUCUUUAAAACACGGUGGAUGGUAACCGAAAUAUGUUGAUCAAGCUCUCUGAGACGAAAGCAAGCAAUGACGCCUCAGCAGCACAAUUCUCUCGAUUUCUUUGACAUGCAAUUCCAUAGUGAAACGCCCGCUUUGAUUCCAGAAGAAAACAAGCAUUAAGGAAGUACAAGGAAAACGCGAUUAAAUCUACCGAAAGAUAGUGCCAUUCUGUGCUGUGGCUUCACACCCCAUUUGUUGAUGUAUACUCCCUUAGUUUACUGCCAUUCCAUGCUGUGGUUUUACCCACUUGAUGACUGACUGAUGUAGGGUACAAUGAUAUAGACAGGGCAAUGCUUGCUUUAUAACCCAUGUUUAGAGCUUGUUAUUCACUUCCCCCAACAAUCGUCAGUUUAUGCGAUUCUACGGAGAACUCAACGCCACGACGUGCACGCAAGGGAUUGUUUUUAAUGACAAUCUGUUCAAACUGCCAACGACAAUCAGCAGGCGAUGACAUCGCUUCUUCUAGCCAUCCACAGAGAGUGGAGUUGGAUUCAUCGGCCGAUGGUCUUACAACUGCCAUACGACACAUCAAGUUUUAUAGGUAGCCAAUACCAUCAAGAUGUGUACAAAAUCCAGAGCACCAAAAUUCAGUGGACCUUUCUCAUUGGUCAGUUUGAUUGACGCCCUGGAAAGGCCCAUUAUCACUGUCUUAAGUAACCUAUCAAGUAAAAUGAUAAAACAUGGGAUUUAUAUAUGCACAGUUGUAUAUUGUUCAGUAAAAUGCAAGACAUAUAACAGUAAUAUGACAAAUUGUAUUUAUUUAGAUACACUGUAUUGGAUGUAUGUGAUUUGGGGUUUUGUUUGUACUGUUGCUGAUAAUAGUAAUGAUGAUGGUGGUGGUUAUGGUGGUGUUGAUUACAUUAUUUUAUUUUUCGGUUCUUUCAUUUGUAUUUAUUUAGAUUCUUAAAAAAGAAUACCACACAGCCUGAUACACAGAUACAAAACUCAGUGAGCUGGAGGGGCAGAGCCUUCAAAUUGAAGUUAGCUGCUUAAUAAUAAGAAGUAAACACACUAUUCUAUUGGUUAAAAAAAAACUUUUUCCUACCAACCUACCCUUUUUUUGGAUUUACCCAAAAUGUGGCCCCAGCACAGGAAUUUUUGUUUGGCCUAUUGGUAGUGGUGGUGAUUAUGAAAGGUGUUGGUGUCUGUUGCUAGGAUGAUGUUGAUGUUAUCCAGUACUAUAGUCUCCUUAACCAGGUUCUUAUACAGGGCUCCCUCUAUUUAAAGUUCAACUCUAAUUCUGUGGUCCCUAAUUAGCAAAUGUCUGUUACAGUAUCUUUAUUAUUAUCUAUAUUAUUGGAGACCAAAGCUACUGAAGACAGUGGCAACCCUGAUCCCAACAAUGGUCUUUAAGUGGAAAUAUUCUUAUAUAAGUCUCCCUCUAAUUUAAGACCACCUCCAAUUAAAAACCACUUUUCUGUGAUCCCAAAUUAACAAAUGUCCGUUACAGUAUUUUAUUUUUCUAAUUAGAGACAAAAGUUGCUAAAGGCCAUGGAAACCCCGGUCCCAAAACUGGUCUUUAAUUGGAGGGAGACCUGACAUUCAUUAUUGUGUUGCACAUUAAUUGCCCACUCCAUUUUUUAAAUACAUCAUUUAUUUCUGUUUUUAAAAAAUAAUUUAAAUGAUUAUAUAAUAUAGAAAAUGUUCUUAGUGUUAUUAACAAGCAAAAACAUUUAUCAAAAAGUUUUUAUAUAGUUUGUUUAUGUUUACGUUUGUUAUCCAUAUAUAAUAUAAACAUCCUUAAAUUUAUAUUGCAUAAUUGGCUGUAUCAGCAUUAUUCAAUUUUAAUUCCUGCAUAUCAAGUUUAUUUAUAUUUAUCAUUACACAAAGGUCAAUAAAAUUAUGAGUUAAGCCCUUUCCAGCCUGCAUGUGACAUAUCUAUAUAUGGUAAUGAUGACAUCACAUCAUGACCAUAAUAGGCACAUCAUGACUAUAUAUGGGCAUACAACAGUUUUUUGUUGUACUUCAAAAGUUGUCUGUGUUUAUACAGUGUAGCACAUAUAUGCAUUUAUAAAUGCAAGCAUUAUAUUAAGCAAUGCCCAAUAAUUUAUUAUACAAUUUUGUAAACAGUAAAUCAUCUAAAUGUGUAUUGUCAAAGGUUAUUACAUAGGUGUAGCAUUACAAUUAUAUCGAAGGAAAUAUAACAUGUAAUAUAAAAUUAUUUAUUAAUAUGUAACAUGAUAAUGGUAUAUUAUGUGAUAUUUAGUUAUUUAUUAUAUCUUUAUUAGAUAAGCAUUAAUUAUUAUUGUU
rnacentral:lncRNA from 1 species